GGCCUAAUGAAAAUAAUUGUAGGUCUUGCCUGCCCAAUGAUGAAUUAAAUGGCCGCAGUAUUUUGACUGUGCAAAGGUAGCAUAAUCAUUAGUUUUUUAAUUGAAAGCUUGUAUGAAAGGUAUGAUGAAAAAAUAUUUGUCUCUGAUUAAUUUAUAGAAAUUUAUUUUUAAGUAAAAAAGCUUAAAUAUUUAUAGAAGACGAGAAGACCCUUUAGAGUUUAAUAGUUUUAAUAUUAAAAAAAAUUAAGAAUUUUUUAUUUUAUUUUUAAAAUUAUUUGAUUGGGGUGAUAGGAAAAUUAAUAAAACUUUUCUUAAGAAUCCAUUUAUUUAUGUGUAUAUGAUCCUUAUUUAAAGAUUAAAAGAUAAAAUUACCUUAGGGAUAACAGCGUUAUUUUUCUUAAAGUUCUAAUUGAAAGAAAAGUUUGCGACCUCGAUGUUGGAUUAAAAAAAAUUAUUGGUGUAGAAGCUAAUAAAUUAAGUCUGUUCGACUUUUAAAAUUUUACAUGAUCUGAGUUUAGACCGGUGUGAG
rnacentral:rRNA from 1 species